GUUUUUAAUAAGCAAUGGAUUUAGUUCCCUCUCUUAACAUCUAACGUGAACUCUGCCGCAUCCACCGCAAGCAUCAGCGCCGCCGCCGCCCUGAAGCCUCAGAAAGUUGUUGCUCUUUUCGCUGCUCAAACCUGCCAUACCACUCCAUCGGCUGCUGCUGAUUGCUACUUUCUUGUGCACUUGGCUUCUAUUUUCUCAGGGGCUCGAGAACUCAUAAAGGCCAUUUUCUUGCUUUUUGUCGAGUAUCAGAAGAUGGCAACUGGAGCUGGACUAGAGACUCUUGUUGAUAAAACAAUUUCAAUUAUCACAAAUGAUGGGCGGAAUAUUGUGGGAAUUCUAAAAGGUUUCGAUCAAGCAACCAACAUAAUUCUUGAUGAGUCUCAUGAACGUGUGUACUCCACAAAGAAGCAUUGUUGGCGAGUUGGAUGAAGAGCUAGAUGCAAGCUUGGACUUAUCGAAACUUAGAGCUCAUCCUUUGAAGCCAGUCAUUCACUGAUGUGUGCCAUUGCGAAUACAUAAGCAAAUGCCUUAAAGCUGUUGAGCUUUGCUCGUAUGAAUGAUAGUUUAGCUAGAAGCAGGAGAGGCUGUUGAGCUUUGCUUGUAAGAAUGAUAGUUUAGCUAGAAGCAGGAGAGGUAAAAUGUGGAUGUUUGAUCGAUAUUAUUUGAUAAAUACCAUUGUUCUCAUUCAUGUUUGCUUUGCGGUUGUAUGGUGACCUUCACAAUUUGGGUUUGCUGCCAUGAUUUAAAGGAAUGAAGAAGUAAAUGUCCAUUUA